UAGCUCAGUGAUAGAGUGUUUGCCUAAUAUGCAAAAGGCCCUGAGUUUGAUUCUCAG
rnacentral:tRNA from 1 species